AGAAAAUCAAAUAGGAUGCAGCUAAUGUGGAUACUUAUGCAAGAAAGAUUCUUGUGACACAGUUUUCAGAAAACAUGCCAAUGAUGCCUUCUCAAAUUUAGAAUCUCUCAUCGUCCAAGAGGUUUUGAUUACACAUGGUGAAGCCUACAUUCGUUGCCCUUGUUAAGCCCUUGUUAAGUUACCGCUUAAAGCUGGUUCCAGAGAAGCAACAGCAAUCGUCAACAGCUGCAACUGGCGGAUCCAUCCGGCCUCCAUCCGGUUCUCGACUGUUCACGGCGGUGGCGCUGGCAGCCGGUCGCACAGCGUCGAAAAUAGUUCGGUCGUCAUCCGGCGAUGGCGAUGGAUCCCAUGACGGGAUCCAGCGACUGGCUCAGCACCAACAGCUUCUCCUUCAUCCAGACAACGGUCAACAACGAUCCGGGGGCGGCCCUGACCCUCCGGCGCAAGUACGGACUGAUGGCCUUCAACAACAAGUCCAGCGACAAAGUGCUAGGCAGCAGCCACCACCAUCUCCACAACAACAUCAAGGGCGACGUCAUCCGGGUCAUGCGGACCCAGUGGGAGACUCAGAUGAAGCAGAUGGAUCAAAUCCAGCCGAGUUACGAGGAGCAGGACUAGUGCAACGACAAAAGGCUGUCGCAGACUAACAAGUCGACGGCCAAGAAAAAAAGAGCCCGGCACCUCGUCCCGCCAUUCCACCCACAACCAAUCCAGUUUGGUCGCAUUCAGCGGAUUCACUCACGUGCCGGGAAAGAGAAAAGCGGCUUCGCCUCCAGAUCAGUAGAUUCCGACCAAGACUUUCAACAUCGUCGCUCCUUAUCCGGUGACGACGGCGGCGCUACCCGACCUGAUGGAAUCGACUCCGCCUGAAGCUUGUCCUCCGGAGGAGAGCAACAACAAGUGAGGCAACGACCUGAACUGCAAUUUGCUGCUGGGCGAGAAUAGCAAAGUGAAACUGUUCGCCGGUAUCAGCAAAACAAAUUGGACGACUGUCCGCUCAAAAUCAACGACAUCCUCAAAGUAGAAGGCAGAGUCCUCCGUCCGCUGGAUUCUUCCAACAAGAAGCAGCCGCAACAAGCGGAAGCUUCCACCACCGGUUCGACGAUGAUUUCCAACCACGAUGGAUUCCAACUCUGGCAUAAUGACCCUUUCGCUCGAGCCGUGCUGGUACAAACGUGGCCGGAAUCACGGAAGCAACGCGGAAUAAGCCAAUUGCAUCACCUUACAUCAGCACUCAUAUCCGCCAACGCAGCGUCGCGAUCAAAAUAAUGGAAGGUUGCGGCUCUUCUUCACCAAUGCCCUUCUUCCUCCGGUGACGUACGAGUGCAACAGCUAGGCGAUGGGUUUGUUGGCCAGUCACCACAACCUCCACCCGUCAGAAUCGAACACGAUCCGCUCCAAUUAUUCGUCGGCCGUCAGUCCCGGUGGAUCGACCAGGAUUGAAGGCUAGUACGUUCUCAACAAUCCGGCGCCAGUUCCUAAGUUUAAAAUCAGCCAACCUUCGCCUCAACCCGGUCCAGCUCAAGGUGAACCAGCCCGUCCCGACCCAGCGCCACAUUCGACCAACAACGGAGCCCGGAAGUCUUACAAAUUACGAGGAGGAUCGGUACAGCACUUGGGAAGCGACGGCCAAACAACACCAUCAACCAGCAACCUGCUAACAAGAUCAAAGACCCUCAACUAACAACAACAACCAACAACAUCGCAACGGAUGAACAGCAACUGGCGGAGUCUGAUUAAGUGGAGACUGGCGGAUCGGAUCCUGUGGAUGGCUGGAUCUACCCCAGCUGCUGCAUUUUGGUCAACCCAGCGACACGAGGCUUGCGCUGUCAAUCAACGGCCGAUGGUUCAACUUCCGGCAGUAACCAAGCCGAAAGUGGUGGACCUGCGCACUGGACUAGCGACGUCGUAACCAACGCCGACACUUUCGAUUGUCCGGUUCGUCCGUUUGAUGACCGUUCCCGCGGGCGUGGGCGUCACCCUGAGGGAAUGUCCCCACAAUUUCUGCAGGGAUUGUUUUUGGCUCACCUGAUUGAAUUCAGAGAUGAAGUGACCGGUGACAUGCCCGUACCACGACGACAAUUACGCCUGUGACGCCAUCCUACAGGAACUUGAAAUCAUAAAUUCGCUGUCGCAAGAGCAACUGCCUCAUCACCAGCCAGGCCAUUCACGAAGGCGCCAAGUGCAAGAAUUUCAGGAUCGAGUCAACCAAAGUGCCGAGACGGACGAGGACGCCAGGAGGUGGACCAAAGAAAUGAUCGAUGCGUUGCUGGUCAGUGGCCCUUUCGUGCCCGCAGUGUCAGGCGGUGUCAGGGGGUCCAUAUGAAACGUUUGGCGGACUGCGAUUAAGUCCGCUGUUCCGUCUGCCGGACGGAAGUCUGUUGGGUUACCAAACAAAAUCGCUGGGGUCCAAAGGUGACACGGGCGGUGGCUGUCGGUGUGGCGUCGACGGCGUCAAAUAUCAUCUCCUCUGAUAUUAAUGCUAUUAAUUAAAACUUAAAUUUGAUUACCGUAGAAUGAAAUUAUUUCGCCGAGUCGUGUGCAAUUGCAAUUUAUCGACAUUUGAAAUGUGUGUCUAUUUAAUUUUUUUUCGUUUGGCAUAUGUUUUAAAAAGAAAAAAAUUAUGAUGAGAAUUCCUACAUAUGUGAAUGGGAGAACAGAGGCA
rnacentral:lncRNA from 1 species